UGUGUAUAACUUGAUGUUACAUUAAGCAA
rnacentral:piRNA from 1 species